rnacentral:rRNA from 1 species
UACGAAGGGGGCUAGCGUUGCUCGGAUUGACUGGGCGUAAAGGGCGCGUAGGCGGUUCGUACAGUCAGACGUGAAAUUCCUGGGCUCAACCUGGGGGCUGCGUUUGAUACGUGCGGACUUGAGUGCGGAAGAGGGUCGUGGAAUUCCCAGUGUAGAGGUGAAAUUCGUAGAUAUUGGGAAGAACACCGGUGGCGAAGGCGGCGACCUGGCCGAUACUGACGCGAGGCGCGAAAGCGUGGGGAGCAAAC